rnacentral:rRNA from 1 species
CCCUUAGAUGUUCUGGGCUGCACGCGCGCUACACUGAUGCAUGCAACGAGUUUUCGACCUUGCCUGAAAAGGUUGGGUAAUCUGUCUAACAUGUGUCGUGAUGGGGAUAGACCAUUGCAAUUAUUGAUCUUCAACGAGGAAUUCCUAGUAAGCGCGAGUCAUCAGCUCGUGCUGAUUAUGUCCCUGCCCUUUGUACACACCGCCCGUCGCUACUACCGAUUGAAUGGCUUAGUGAGCCUUUGGGAUUGGCAGCUUGUACCGGCAACGGUAGCAGGCAGCCGAAAACUUAGGCAAACUUGGUCAUUUAGAGGAAGUAAAAGUCGUAACA